UACGUAGGUGGCAAGCGUUGUUCGGAAUUAUUGGGCGUAAAGGGCGCGUAGGCGGUUUGCUAAGUCAGUUGUGAAAGCCCGGGGCUCAACCCCGGAGGGUCGGCUGAUACUGGUGGACUAGAGUUCGGUAGGGGAGUCUGGAAUUCCUGGUGUAGCGGUGAAAUGCGCAGAUAUCAGGAGGAACACCGGUGGCGAAGGCGGGACUCUGGGCCGAUACUGACGCUGAGGAGCGAAAGCGUGGGGAGCAAACAGG
rnacentral:rRNA from 1 species